rnacentral:rRNA from 1 species
UACGAAGGGGGCUAGCGUUGCUCGGAAUUACUGGGCGUAAAGAGCGCGUAGGCGGAUAGUUUAGUCAGAGGUGAAAGCCCAGGGCUCAACCUUGGAACUGCCUUUGAUACUGGCUAUCUUGAGUUCGGGAGAGGUGAGUGGAAUGCCGAGUGUAGAGGUGAAAUUCGUAGAUAUUCGGCGGAACACCAGUGGCGAAGGCGACUCACUGGCCCGAUACUGACGCUGAGGCGCGAAAGCGUGGGGAGCAAACAGG